UGAUUCUGAGGCCUCCCAGCCACGUCGAACUGGCCUAAAAUAGCAACCUGAAAUAUACUGGAUACACAAAAAAACUGUGUUUUAUGGAAUCUAAGAAGCCAUCGGUUACAGAAGAAGGAGAUGCCAGUGACAAGCAAAGUAACUCCCCCACGGCAUGGGAAGAGCCAGCAUCUGCUGCUGUCCAGGAAUACAGUCUCACUGCUGCAGUCAAGGAAGGCCAAAGAAGCCACCGGGGAAAACCAACCCAUCCCGGGGACACUGGAGGCUCACUCCUUCCUCGCUGCAUUCUGAGGCUGCUGCUUUGGAGUGAGAGAUUAUCCUCUGCUUCUCCUGAAAGAGAAGGUGAUAUGCCCAGGACCCUUCCUGAGUAAGAUGUGUUCCUCAGAGGUUAAAAAAGAAAAAAAAGCCCCAAACCCCUGAAACCAAGAAAUCAAGACAGCUCUGGUGGAGAAGCUUUUGGGAACUUGCUGGGGCAGGCUCCAAUCAGCUUAAAGUCCUUGCAAAGAAAGAAAUUGUGCCCUGUCUCUCAGCGUCGACCAUAGCAGAGAGCCUGGGACAUGAAUGGGUGUCAUUAUUUAUCUGCUGAACAAAUAGAAAAACAUUGUCACUGGAAAGACUGAAACUAACAUGAGUGGAAAAGAAUUGAAGCUCAAGAAGGUGAGAAGCACUUUGCUUCUUCAAAUGAGAGAAACUAUUCAUUCUUUGAUCAAGUAUUUUGUAAGGUAAUGAAAAAAUAUGAAAAUAAGUGAAAUCAAUAUGUCGAAGAGAUAUCUAACAUCUGUGUUCACUGCAGCAGAAUUCACAAUAACUAAGACAGAGAAUCAACCUAAGUGUCCAUCAGUGGAUGAAUGGAUUAAAAAAUGUGA
rnacentral:lncRNA from 1 species